CGCGACCUCCACACCUUCCUAUCUAGGGUCAUGUCCUCAGUAAGCUGCAGCUGCUCCAUAUCAACUGGUCACCUCCCUCCAGUAUUUCUUCGGCCUACCUCUACUCCUCCUGGAGCCAUCCAAAGCUAGCCUCUCACACCUACGAAUUAAGGCAUCCGCGUCCCUCCUCAUUACAUGUCCAAACCAUCUUAACCUUCUUUCCCACAUCUUGUGCUCCACCGAUGCCACUCUCAUCUUCUCUCGGAUAAUCUCAUUCCUAACCUUGUCCUCUCUAGUAAGUCCACACAUCUAACGCAACAUCCUCAUUUCCGCCACCUUCAAUUUCUAGAUGUGGGAGUGCUUGACUGGCCAACACUCCACACUAUACACAUGGCCGGAUGGACUGCCACUUUAUAGAAUUUGCCUUUAAGCUUAAGGGGCACUUUCUUA
rnacentral:lncRNA from 1 species